GCCUCAUUAGCUCAGGGGCAGAGCAGCAGUGUCGUAAACUGAAGGUAGUGAGUUCGAAUCUCUCAUGAGGCU
rnacentral:tRNA from 1 species